rnacentral:lncRNA from 1 species
UCACAAGGAAAAUUAUGCAAUCCAAAGUGUAAGAUGAGAUGCGUUGUUGGGGUAUCAGUCAGAGGAUAUUCAAGUAAUGACUUUCACAAAAUUGGCUUGGUCACCUGCGCUCUGCUGAAAAUAGAUCCAUCAGGAGUUAAUUAGGAUGAACUUCUGUGGGAUGAGUCCAAGGUAUGCAUACUUAAAACUUUGUGACAUAAGCAAUGGAGCAGCACAAUUCCUAGAGUAUGAG